UACGUAGGGUGCGAGCGUUAAUCGGAAUUACUGGGCGUAAAGCGUGCGCAGGCGGUUCGUUAAGUCAGCUGUGAAAGCCCCGGGCUCAACCUGGGAAUGGCAUUGGAAACUGGCGACCUAGAGUGCGGUAGAGGGUAGUGGAAUUCCCGGUGUAGCAGUGAAAUGCGUAGAGAUCGGGAGGAACAUCCGUGGCGAAGGCGACUACCUGGACCAGCACUGACACUGAGGCACGAAAGCGUGGGGAGCAAACAGG
rnacentral:rRNA from 1 species